UUCACACUGUCAAGAAAAGCUUCUAUCGAGUUUAAAGGCGCCCGUACCGUAAACCGACACAGGUGGGUGAGGAGAGUAUCCUAAGGCCAGCGAGAGAACUAUUGUUAAGGAACUCGGCAAAAUGACCCCGUAACUUAGGGAGAAGGGGUGCCUGUCUAUGACAGGCCGCAGAGAAUAGGCCCAAGCGACUGUUUACCAAAAACAGGUUUCUGCCAAGUCGCAAGACGAUGUAUAGGAGCUGACGCCUGCCCGGUGCUGGAAGGUUAAGGGGAUCUGUUAGAGUAAUCGAAGCAGUGAACUUAAGCCCCAGUAAACGGCGGCCGUAAUUAUAACGGUCCUAAGGUAGCGAAAUUCCUUGUCGGGUAAGUUCCGACCCGCACGAAAGGCGUAACGAUUUGGGCACUGUCUCAACAAUAGACUCGGUGAAAUUGUAAUCCCGGUGAAGAUGCCGGGUACCUGCGACAGGACGGAAAGACCCCAUGGAGCUUUACUGUAGCUUGACGUUGGGUCUUGGUACUACAUGUACAGGAUAGGUGGGAGACUAUGAAGCAUGGACGCCAGUCUGUGUGGAGUCAUCCUUGGGAUACCACCCUUGUAGUACUGAGAUCCUAACCAUAGGCCUUGAAUCAGGUCUUGGAACACCGUCAGGUGGGCAGUUUGACUGGGGCGGUCGCCUCCUAAAAAGUAACGGAGGCGCUCAAAGGUUUCCUCAGCACGGUCGGAAAUCGUGCGAAGAGUGUAAAGGCAAAAGGAAGCUUGAUUGCAAGACAUACAGGUCGAGCAAGGACGAAAGUCGGACUUAGUGAUCCGGUGGUACCGCAUGGAAGGGCCAUCGCUCAACGGAUAAAAGCUACCCUGGGGAUAACAGGCUUAUCUCCCCCAAGAGUCCACAUCGACGGGGAGGUUUGGCACCUCGAUGUCGGCUCAUCACAUCCUGGGGCUGUAGUAGGUCCCAAGGGUUGGGCUGUUCGCCCAUUAAAGUGGUACGCGAGCUGGGUUCAGAACGUCGUGAGACAGUUCGGUCCCUAUCCGUCGCAGGCGUAGGAAAUUUGAGAAGACCUGUCCUUAGUACGAGAGGACCGGGAUGGACGUACCUCUGGUGUACCAGUUGUUCUGCCAAGGGCAUGGCUGGGUAGCUAUGUACGGAAUGGAUAAGCGCUGAAAGCAUCUAAGCGCGAAGCCAACUUCAAGAUAAGAUUUCCCACCGUAAGGGUAAGACCCCAGGAAGACUACCUGGUUGAUAGGUCGAAGGUGUAAGUGCAGUAAUGUAUUUAGCUUAUCGAUACUAAUAGGUCGAGGACUUGACCU
rnacentral:rRNA from 1 species